GGGACGAUUAUAUAUUAAAGAUGUUCUACUUCUCUACCUAAUUAAGAUUGUCAUCUUAUUGAUUGCGAUAGUUCGAAACUACAUGGUUGAGCUGUGUUUCUCCACGUAUGCUUAUUUCCUUAACAUUGCAAUAUAAGAACUGAGUGGUGCAAACAUAUUUUACGAUAGUGUGGGUUUGGAUUGGGAAAAUUCGAUUAAAAAAAAAAGAAAAAAGAAAAGAAGAAGUAGUUUUCAUGGAUUCAGACACAUGGGGUGUAAGAUAUUGACAAUGGAGGCCCAAAUGAAGACAAGAAGAAUGGGAAAUUAGGGACUGGUCUCAACUUUGGGACUAUGUUUGUCUGAGGUUGAAAAAGCCACCAAAUGUGCCCAUUCGUGUAUUUUAAAGGAUGAGAGCUUACAUUACUUAUUUAACAACCCCAACAUAAUGUCCCAC
rnacentral:lncRNA from 1 species